rnacentral:rRNA from 1 species
UACGUAGGGUGCAAGCGUGUCCGGAAUUAUUGGGCGUAAAGAGCUCGUAGGCGGUCUGUCGCGCGGCUGUGAAAACCCGAGGCUCAACCUCGGGCCUGCAGUCGAUACGGGCAAACUAGAGUACUGCAGGGGAGACUGGAAUUCCAGGUGUAGCGGUGAAAUGCGUAGAUAUCUGGAGGAACACCGGUGGCGAAGGCGACAUCCUGGACCGGUAUUGACGCUGAGGGCGCGAAAAGCCAGGGGAGCAAACGGG